rnacentral:lncRNA from 1 species
UGUCUUUCCCUCAAGUUGUUGAUGCAACUCCGGUUCAAGACAAUCUCGAAAAUCUCCCCCAUGAGGACCCUGAUAUGACUAAUGAAAAUCAAACUCAACAACCUCAAGAAACUGAAAUGCCAUAAGGACAAGAACAAGAAACCUAGAUGAUCCAAUUUCGGAUGUGGGAGAGGAGAAAUGCAAUUUCGGAUGAUUAUUAUGUAUUUCUCCAAGAACAAGAAAGUGAUAUU